GACGAACGCUGGCGGCGUGCUUAACACAUGCAAGUCGAACGGAAAGGCCCUGCUUUUGUGGGGUGCUCGAGUGGCGAACGGGUGAGUAACACGUGAGUAACCUGCCCUUGACUUUGGGAUAACUUCAGGAAACUGGGGCUAAUACCGGAUAGGAGCUCCUGCUGCAUGGUGGGGGUUGGAAAGUUUCGGCGGUUGGGGAUGGACUCGCGGCUUAUCAGCUUGUUGGUGGGGUAGUGGCUUACCAAGGCUUUGACGGGUAGCCGGCCUGAGAGGGUGACCGGCCACAUUGGGACUGAGAUACGGCGCAGACUCCUACGGGAGGCAGCAGUGGGGAAUAUUGCACAAUGGGCGGAAGCCUGAUGCAGCAACGCCGCGUGCGGGAUGACGGCCUUCGGGUUGUAAACCGCUUUCGCCGGUGACGAAGCGUGAGUGACGGUAAUGGGUAAAGAAGCACCGGCUAACUACGUG
rnacentral:rRNA from 1 species